UAUCUGUAGGUGAACCUGCAGAUGGAUCAUUAGAUUGUUGCGCACAGGUGAGCUAGUCUCGCCUUGUGUUUUUACUCGUCGUGUUGUGGAAACAACUCUCGGUUAUGAACAUGUAUUGGAAUUGGGAGUGACGUGUGGUGCCCUUCCGGGGUGUGCCGUGCUGAGCUUCGUCAUCCAUCCACCCAACCUUCAAUGUAACACAUCGCUUGUGUGUGUGGAGUGUAUCCUCUAUGGAUCCUCUACCCCCACUAGCAAUAAAAAACCUCGAACAACUGUGGACAACGGAUAUCUUGGUUCUC
rnacentral:misc_RNA from 1 species